rnacentral:rRNA from 1 species
GAGUUUGAUCCUGGCUCAGGAUGAACGCUGGCGGCGUGCUUAACACAUGCAAGUCGAACGAAGCAUUUAAGACAGAUUUCUUCGGGAUGAAGUUUUUAUGACUGAGUGGCGGACGGGUGAGUAACGCGUGGGUAACCUGCCUCACACAGGGGGAUAGCAGUUGGAAACGACUGGUAAUACCGCAUAAGCGCACAGCUUCGCAUGAAGCGGUGUGAAAAACUCCGGUGGUGUGAGAUGGACCCCGCGUCUGAUUAGGUAGUUGGUGAGGUAACGGCCCACCAAGCCGACGAUCAGUAGCCGACCUGAGAGGGUGACCGGCCACAUUGGGACUGAGACACGGCCCAGACUCCUACGGGAGGCAGCAGUGGGGAAUAUUGCACAAUGGGGGAAACCCUGAUGCAGCGACGCCGCGUGAGCGAAGAGUA